AGUGGGGAAUAUUGGGNNNNGGGCGAAAGCCUGACCCAGCAACGCCGCGUGAAUGAAGAAGGCCUUCGGGUUGUAAAAUUCUGUCCUUGGGGACGAAAAAAAUGACGGUACCCAAGGAGGAAGCUCCGGCUAACUACGUGCCAGCAGCCGCGGUAAUACGUAGGGAGCGAGCGUUGUCCGGAAUUACUGGGCGUAAAGGGUGCGUAGGCGGCACUUUAAGUCAGAUGUGAAAUACCCAUGCUUAACGUGGGGGGUGCAUUUGAAACUGGAGUGCUUGAGUGCAGGAGAGGAAAGUGGAAUUCCUAGUGUAGCGGUGAAAUGCGUAGAUAUUAGGAGGAACACCAGUGGCGAAGGCGACUUUCUGGACUGUAACUGACGCUGAGGCACGAAAGCGUGGGGAGCAAACAGGAUUAGAUACCCUGGUAGUCCACGCCGUAAACGAUGGAUACUAGGUGUAGGGGGCGAUAGUCCUCUGUGCCGCAGCUAACGCAAUAAGUAUCCCGCCUGGGGAGUACGAUCGCAAGGUUG
rnacentral:rRNA from 1 species